UCUCUCUCUCCAACCUCCUCCCACCCCAUGGGAAGUGAUGACAGAGGAAUCUGCCUGCGGACUCCAAAAUGCAGGUUAAAAGAGCAUGACCCAGGGGCAUUUACGACUCACCUGGAACCACACAGGUUGUUAAGAGUGAGGGCUAGAAUUUGGGUGACCUGUCUCCCAGGAGCCACGCAACCUCUCUGUGAAUGAAGGUGGAAUUCCAUGAUUUGAUAAUUACAUGGGACUGUAUCUCUCCCCUGGACUUUGGCCAUCUUUCCCACCGUUCAGAGAAAAUACGACUUGUUUCUAGACCUGAUAUUCAUCCAGCAUGCACCAGGAUGGAUGGAAGAUAAAAUACUGAAAUGUUUCCACACUGACAGGACUGAGACCCUCUGAGCCAGCACUGUAGAAUCCCAGAAGCAGCACAGUGCCUUCCAUCUGAGCUUCUGAAGUACAUUUCACACAUAGCACCUUCAG